CAGCAGCCACGGUAAUACGAAGGGGGCUAGCGUUGUUAGGAAUUACUGGGCGUAAAGGGCGCGUAGGCGGCCAUUCAAGUCAGAUGUGAAAGCCCUGGGCUCAACCUAGGAAUUGCAUUUGAUACUGUUUGGCUUGAGUUCGGGAGAGGUGAGUGGAAUUCCCAGUGUAGAGGUGAAAUUCGUAGAUAUUGGGAAGAACACCAGUGGCGAAGGCGGCUCACUGGACCGACACUGACGCUGAGGCGCGAAAGCGUGGGGAGCAAACAGGAUUAGAUACCCCCGUAGUCCCUGUCUCUUAUAC
rnacentral:rRNA from 1 species